AAAAAAAAAAAACAUAGGUUUCCGUGUUAAACGUUUGACUGUCCGUCUUAUUUGAAAAAAAUAUAAAAAAAUAAAAAGACAAGUCGCACAUAAAGUAUUAAUCAUGUUUUAUCAUCUAAUAACCAUAAAAAUACUAAUUAUAAAAAAAUUUCAUAUAAGACGGACAAUCAAACGUUGGACACGGAAAUAUAGGGUUUGUCUUUUU
rfam:Oryza sativa Japonica Group DNA, chromosome 8, cultivar: Nipponbare, complete sequence.